GCGCCCAUAGCUCAGCUGGAUAGAGCAACGGACUUCUAAUCCGUAGGUCGAUGGUUCGAAUCCAUCUGGGCGUGC
rnacentral:tRNA from 2 species